GUUUCCUAGGGUUAGAGGCAGAAGUUUGAAAUGUAGAGUGAUAGAAAGUAGCAUUAGCAGUGGAUUCAGAGGAAGAGAAGGUAUAGAGGAAUCAGUGAAAGGAUGAUAGGUCCUCCAGAAGUUUUGUUUUCCUCUAUUUUCGCUCAGCUUCCCACAGCCCUGUUCUGUAAGCUCGCAAUGAGUCACUCAGCCACGAAGCAAGAGGGGAGGGCCGAGCCGGCCCGGGAGGACAUGGGGUAGUGUGAGUCAAAGGAUGCGGAAAGGAAGGAGAGUAGGGUCGAAGAGGCCGAAUCAGUACACAGGAGAGAAAAGGAUUUAGAAGGGAGAGAUGAUAGGUUAGAAGAGGAGAGAGUACUGGGAGAGAAAGAGCAAAGAUUGCAACGGCACAUGGCCAUCUGGGUAGGGGCUGAGAGGGUUGGAGGAAAGAGAGACAGAAAAGGAAACAAAAGUAGUGAUCCUCGACCUUGACGGCGGUUGCAGUGAGAUUAGUAAACGGCCAGCAUCUAGUAGAGAUGAGGUCAAGCAUAUUGCCUUGUCAGUUGGAGGGGAUUGGGAAAGGGUGACAUCAAAAGGCAAGGAGGGUAAUGAGAGAGUUGCAAAUAAAUGAAUCGAAGGGAGAUGUCGGGAGGUAGAAGUCGCCCAGUAAAAGAGUGGUGAGCCAUCAUCAGGAAAUAAGUUUAUGAAAGUGUUAAACUCAUUGAGGAAGUCUCCAAGGGCACCUGGUGGGCGAUAGAUGACAACAAGCUUGAGUGGACAAGUGACAGUGACCGCAUGGAAUUCAAAUGAGGAGAUGGACAGGUGAGAGAGUAGAUGGACAGGUGAGAGAGUAGAUAGACAGGUGAGAGAGUAGAUAGACAGGUGAGAGAAUAGAUGGACAGGUGAGAGAGUAGAUGGACAGGUGAGAGAGUAGAUGGACAGGUGAGAGAGUAGAUAGACAGGUGAGAGAGUAGAUGGACAGGUGAGAGAGUAGAUGGACAGGUGAGAGAGUAGAUGGACUGGUGAGAGAGUAGAUGGACAGGUGAGAGAGUAGAUGGACAGGUGAGAGAGUAGAUGGACAGGUGAGAGAGUAGAUGGACAGGUGAGAGAGUAGAUGGACAGGUGAGAGAGUAGAUGGACAGGUGAGAGAGUAGAUGGACAGGUGAGAGAGUAGAUGGACAGGUGAGAGAGUAGAUGGACAGGUGAGAGAGUAGAUGGACAGGUGAGAGAGUAGAUGGACAGGUGAGAGAGUAGAUGGACAGGUGAGAGAGUAGAUGGACAGGUGAGAGAGUAGAUGGACAGGUGAGAGAGUAGAUGGACAGGUGAGAGAGUAGAUGGACAGGUGAGAGAGUAGAUGGACAGGUGAGAGAGUAGAUGGACUGGUGAGAGAGUAGAUGGACUGGUGAGAGAGUAGAUGGACAGGUGAGAGAGUAGAUGGACAGGUGAGAGAGUAGAUGGACAGGUGAGAGAGUAGAUGGACAGGUGAGAGAGUAGAUGGACAGGUGAGAGAGUAGAUGGACAGGUGAGAGAGUAGAUGGACUGGUGAGAGAGUAGAUGGACUGGUGAGAGAGUAGAUGGACUGGUGAGAGAGUAGAUGGACAGGUGAGAGAGUAGAUGGACUGGUGAGAGGGAGAAAAGACCACAUCUCCAGUUAGGAGAAAUGAGUAGCCCUGUGCCACCACUGCGACGACCAGAUGCUCUUGGACUAUGAGAGAAAACGUAGUCAGGUGAAGGGAGAGCAGCUCUGAAGGGCAUCAUAGGCUUAGAUUAUCUCAGUGUUCUUUUUUUAAUUUGUACAUUUUUUUUACCCCCUUUUCUCCCCAAUUUUCGUGGUAUCCAAUUGUUUGUAAUUACUAUCUUAUCUCAUCGCUACAACUCCCGUACGGGCUCAGGAGAGACGAAGGUCGAAAGCCAUGCGUCCUCCGAAACACAACCCAACCAAGCCGCACUGCUUUUUAACACAGCGCGCCUCCAACCCGGAAGCCAGUCGCACCAAUGUGUCGGAGGAAACACCGUGCACCUGGCUACCUUGGUUAGCACGCACUGCGCUCGGUCCACCACAGGAGUCGCUGGUGCGCGAUGAGACAAGGAUAUCCCUACCGGCCAAACCCUCCCUAACCCAGACGACGCCAGGCCAAUUGUGUGUCACCCCACGGACCUCCCGGUCGCGGCCGGUUGCGACAGAGCCGGCCGCUAUCACUGCGAUGCAGUGCCCUAGACCACUGCGCCACACGGGAGGCAUCUCAGCGUUCUUAACUGUAGAUCAACAGUUCCAAAUGCUGCAAAACAUUUUUUUUCAGAAAAUAAAAAAAUCACCUGGUCCUGAUGAACUAGACCCCCGCCUCCUACAUCUAGCUGCAGACAUCAUUGCUCCCCCUUAACAUGUAUUUUUAACCUCACGCUUGAUGUUAAGGAAAUCCCCAAGUUAUGGAAAUCUGCUUUUGUACUCCCUCUUCUGAAAGGUGUAGAUCCUUCGCUACUUGACAACUACUCGACCCAUAUCAAAAUUGUCUGUACUGUCAAAGGUACUGGAGUCCUUAAUUAGUAGGCAGCUAAAGGUCUACUUCCAAGAAAACAACAUCUUAAAUGAUAUGCAAUCAGGUUUUAGGUCUGGCCAGAGCACUGUUUCAGCAACAUUGGUUUUAAAUUACAUCCAAUGUGCUCUUGAUAAGAAGUUACAUUUUGUGUCUGUUUUUGUUGAUUUGUCGAAGGCUUUUGACACCGUGGACCAUGCUGUGUUAGUGCAGAGGUUAAAAUGUUGUGGAAUUACUGGUCAUGCUCUAAAUUGGUUUAUAAAUUACCUAUCAAAUCGUACACAAUGUGUAAUGGUGGAUGAUUGUAAAUCUGAGUCCAUAGAGGUGUGCUCAGGUGUUCCGCAAGGUUCUAUUUUGGGCCCACUGUUGUUCAUUUUGUAUAUCAACAACAUUGGGGAUCUUAUUGAAACUGCGGGUGUUCAUUUUUAUGCAGAUGAUACUGUUCUUUAUUCAAGUGGUAGUAGUUUAUCUUUGGCUUUUGAAAAUUCCCAAAGAGCAUUUAACAUCAUACAACAGAAUCUGUAUGAUUUAAAGCUGAUUCUAAAUUCGGUAAAACAAAAUGCAUGAUAUUUUCAAAUGCCAGGCAUGUUACAAAUCAUGUCAUUGCUGGGCAUGCUAUACAUACUGUACAUACUAUACA